UACGGAGGGUGCAAGCGUUGUUCGGAAUUAUUGGGCGUAAAGCGCGUGUAGGCGGCCGUGCAAGUCGGGUGUGAAAGCCCUCAGCUCAACUGAGGAAGUGCGCCCGAAACUGCAUGGCUUGAGUACCGGAGAGGAUGGCGGAAUUCCCGAAGUAGAGGUGAAAUUCGUAGAUAUCGGGAGGAACACCGGUGGCGAAGGCGGCCAUCUGGACGGAUACUGACGCUGAGACGCGAAAGCGUGGGUAGCAAACAGG
rnacentral:rRNA from 1 species